rnacentral:misc_RNA from 1 species
GAUGAAGAACGUAGCGAAAUGCGAUAAGUAAUGUGAAUUGCAGAAUUCAGUGAAUCAUCGAAUCUUUGAACGCACAUUGCGCCCGCCAGUAUUCUGGCGGGCAUGCCUGUUCGAGCGUCAUUACAACCCUCAGGCCCCCGGGCCUGGCGUUGGGGAUCGGCGGAAGCCCCCUGCGGGCACAACGCCGUCCCCCAAAUACAGUGGCGGUCCCGCCGCAGCUUCCAUUGCGUAGUAGCUAACACCUCGCAACUGGAGAGCGGCGCGGCCACGCCGUAAAACACCCAACUUCUGAAUGUUGACCUCGAAUCAGGUAGGAAUACCCGCUGAACUUAAGCAUAUUAAUAAGCGGAGGA